AUGCAGUCGAGCGGACAGAAGGGAGCUUGCUCCCGGAUGUUAGCGGCGGACGGGUGAGUAACACGUGGGUAACCUGCCUGUAAGACUGGGAUAACUCCGGGAAACCGGAGCUAAUACCGGAUAGUUCCUUGAACCGCAUGGUUCAAGGAUGAAAGACGGUUUCGGCUGUCACUUACAGAUGGACCCGCGGCGCAUUAGCUAGUUGGUGAGGUAACGGCUCACCAAGGCGACGAUGCGUAGCCGACCUGAGAGGGUGAUCGGCCACACUGGGACUGAGACACGGCCCAGACUCCUACGGGAGGCAGCAGUAGGGAAUCUUCCGCAAUGGACGAAAGUCUGACGGAGCAACGCCGCGUGAGUGAUGAAGGUUUUCGGAUCGUAAAGCUCUGUUGUUAGGGAAGAACAAGUGCAAGAGUAACUGCUUGCACCUUGACGGUACCUAACCAGAAAGCCACGGCUAACUACGUGCCAGCAGCCGCGGUAAUACGUAGGUGGCAAGCGUUGUCCGGAAUUAUUGGGCGUAAAGGGCUCGCAGGCGGUUUCUUAAGUCUGAUGUGAAAGCCCCCGGCUCAACCGGGGAGGGUCAUUGGAAACUGGGAAACUUGAGUGCAGAAGAGGAGAGUGGAAUUCCACGUGUAGCGGUGAAAUGCGUAGAGAUGUGGAGGAACACCAGUGGCGAAGGCGACUCUCUGGUCUGUAACUGACGCUGAGGAGCGAAAGCGUGGGGAGCGAACAGGAUUAGAUACCCUGGUAGUCCACGCCGUAAACGAUGAGUGCUAAGUGUUAGGGGGUUUCCGCCCCUUAGUGCUGCAGCUAACGCAUUAAGCACUCCGCCUGGGGAGUACGGUCGCAAGACUGAAACUCAAAGGAAUUGACGGGGGCCCGCACAAGCGGUGGAGCAUGUGGUUUAAUUCGAAG
rnacentral:rRNA from 1 species